GUGAGGGAUGUGGAACCGAAUAAUGUAAAUGUUUUGAACUUUAACAUGUAAUUUUCUUUAAUGGGUAUUUAAUCAUUAUCUUGUUUAAGAUUCCAUGAUUUGUACUUAAAAGGGUGACCAUUAUUAAAACAUACUGGAUAUGACAUCCUUUGGAAUUAUUUACAUUUGUAAUGAAACAUAGAUACUCAUUUAAAAUGCAAAAGUGUAUAUAGUCUCUCAAAAUUAUUUUUGAAAAGAAUGCAGGUUGUAGGGUUUUAUUUUUAUUUUUAUUUUUUUAGAGAUGGAGGCUUUCUAUGUUGCCCAGGUUGGAGUGCAGUGGCUAUUCACAGACACAUUAAGUGUGCACUACAGCCCCAAACUCCUAGGCUCCGCAGUGAUCCUGAGUGUUCCUCUUGUGUCAGGCUCGGGAGUAGCUAAGACUGCAGGCUUGGGCCACCACUCCCAGCUUGAAGACUGCUGUCUUAAGGGUCUCCCAGACAAGUCUUUAGAACAGAUUAAUUUCAGUACUCCUUCCUUGGGCCACACCACAUCUCUUCUCCACAGGAGAUGGAAGCCAACACUAGUAUUUCUGCACACCAGCUGCACCAGGAGUCCUGAAAACAGCUGGAGGACAUAGAAGCUCUAUGCCUCCAUUUGUCUGUAAUUCUUUACAGAGAGAAGUUAAGACCCUCUAAGAAAUGUAGUUGUUGUCUCACUCUGGCUGCUUUUCUCAAAAAACCCUCUCGGAUAAUUCCUUAAGAAUAAAACUGUCUAUCUUUUUGUGUGACUGAAAUUUCCUUGGCCAUGCUGUAUUAUCAUCUCUAUAUAUUUAUAUCAUAUAUAUGGGAUGAUAUAUAUAAUUAUAUAUACAUAGAUAUGCGUGCGCACACACACACACACACACACACACAGAUAGAGUUUGGCUGUGUCCCUACCCAAAUCUCCUCUUGAAUUCCCACAUGUGGGAAGGACCUGGUGGGAGGUAAUUGAAUCACGGGGACAGGUGUUUCCCAUGCUGUUCUCGUAGUAGUGAAUAAGUCUCAUGAUAUCUGAUGGUUAUCUAACGGGGAGUUUUCCUGCACAAGCUCUUUCUUUGCCUUCUGCCAUCCAUGUAAGGUGUGACUUGCUCCUCCUUGCCUUCUGCCAUGAUUGUGAGGCCUUUCCAGCCACAUGGAACUGUAAGUCUAUUAAACCUCUUUCUUGUAUAAAUUACCCACUCUUGGGUAUGUCUUUCUCAGCAGUGUGAAAAUGGACUAAUACAGCAAAUUGAUACCAGUAGAGUGGGAUGCUGCUGAAAACAUACCCAAAAAUGUGAAAAUGACUUUGGAACUGGGUAACAGGCAGUCAUUGGAACACUUUGGAGGGCUCAGAAGAAGACAGGAAAAUGUGGGAAAGUGUGGAACUCCCUAGAGACUUGUUGAAUGGCUUUGACAAAAAUGCUGGUAAUGAUAUGGACAAUGAAAUCCAGGCUAAGUUGGUCUCAGAUGGAGAUGAAGAACUUUUUGAGUACUGGAGCAAAGGUGACUCUUGUUAUGUUUUAGCAAAGUGACCAGCGGCAUUUUGCCCCUGCCCUAGAGAUUUGUGGAACUUUGAACUUGAGAGAGAUGAUUUAGGGUAUCUGGCAGAAGAAAUUUAUAAGCAGCAAAGCAUUCAAGAGGUGACUUGGGUAAUGUUAAAGGCAUUCAGUUUUAAAAGGGAAACAGAGCAUAGAAGUUCAGAAAAUUUGUAGCCUGAUGAUGUGAUAGAAAAGAAAAUCCCAUUUUCUGAGGAGAAAUUCAAGCCAGCUGCAGAAAUUUGCAUAAGUAAAGAGGAGCCAAAUGUUAAUCACCAAGACAAAGGGAAAAUGUCUCCAGGGCAUGUCAGAGGUCUUCAUGGCAGCCCCUCCCAUCACAGGUCAGGAGGCCUAGGAAGAAAAGAUGGUUUCAUGGGCUGGGUCCAGCGCCCUCCUGCCCUGUGCAGCCUAGGGACUUGGUACCCUGCAUUCUAGCCAUUCCAUCCAUGGUUAAAAGGGGCCAAUGUACAGCUUGGGCUGUUGCCUCAGACUGUGGAAGCCACAAGCCUUGGCAGCUUCCAUGUGGUGUUGAGCCUGCAGGUGCACAGAAGUGAAGAAUUGGGGUUUGGGAACCUCUGCCUAGAUUUCAAAAGAUGUAUAGAAAUGCCUGGAUUCCUAGGCAGAAGUUUGCUGCAGGGGUGGGGCCCUCAUGGAAAACUUCUGCUAGGGCAGUGCAGAAGGGAAAUGUGGGGUCAGAGUCUCUACACAGAGUCCCUACUGGGGCGCCACCUAGUGGAGCUGUGAGAAAGAUGGCCACCGUCCUCCAGACCCCAGAAUUGUAGAUCACUGACAGCUUGCACAAGUGUGUCUGGAAAAGCUGCAGACAUUCAAUACCAGCCCAUGAAGGCAGCCGGAAGGGAGGCUGUACCCUGCAAAGCUACAGGGCCAGAGCUGCCCAAGACCAUAGGAACCCAUCUCUUACAUUAGUGUGACCCAGAUGUGAGACAUGAUGUCAAAGGAGAUCAUUUUGGAACUUUAAGAUUUGACUGACCUGCUGGAUUUUGGACUUGCAUGGGGCCUGUAGCCCCAUUGUUUUGGCCAAUUUGGAAUGGCUAUAUUUACCCAAUGCCUGUACCCCCAUUGUGUCUAGGAAGUAACUAACUUGGUUUUGAUUUUACAGGCUCAUAGGCAGAAGGGACUCACCUUGUUUCAGAUGAGACUUUGAACUGUGGACUUUCGAGUUAAUGCUGAAGUGAGUUAAGACUUUGUGGGACUGUUAGGAAGGCAUGAUUGGUUUUGAAAUGUGAGGACAUGAGAUUUGGGAGGGGCCAUGGUGGAAUGAUAUGGUUUGGCUGCAUCCCCACCCAAGUCUCAUGUUGAAUUCCCAUGUGUUGUGGGAAGGACCUGGUAGGAGGUAAUUGAAUCAUGGGGGCAAGUCUUUCCUAUGCUGUUCUUGUGAUAGUGAAUAAGUCUCACAAGAUCUGAUGGUUUUAAAAAGGGGAAUUUCCCUGCACAAGUUCUCUCUUCUCUUGUCUGCUGCCAUGUGAGACGUCCUUUUACCUUCUGCCAUAAUUGUGAGGCCUCCCCAGCCAUGUGGAAAUAUAAGUCCAAUAAUCUUCUUUCUUCUGUAAAUUGCCCAGUUUGGGGUAUGUCUUUAUCAGCAGUGUGAAAAUGGACUAAUACACACACACACACAUAUACACACACACACACAGUUUAUGUCACUAUUACACCUUAUUGUAAAUGAAUAACUAGUCUUCUGGAUCUAUGUUUUUAUCUUAUGAUCCUGGUUAAGAUGUUCACUUUGAGAAAUGUAUCUGUUCUGAGCCUAUAAAUAAAAUCCAGCUUCUGAUGCUGCAGGGCUAUAGUUCAAACCAUAUACCAUGAGAAAUUUACCCUGUGAGGCCUGUAGUCUUGUCCUUUUGAUC
ensembl:lncRNA